rnacentral:rRNA from 1 species
AAUAAUUUAAAGUAUAUUCUGCCCAGUGAAUUUUUAACGGCCGCAGUACCUUGACUGUGCUAAGGUAGCAUAAUAAAUUGUCUUUUAAUUAAAGACUAGAAUGAACGAAAUUUUGAUUAGAUUCUGUUUCUUGUAAACUUAAAUAAAUUUACUUAAAAGGUGAAAAUUCCUUUAUUUGUAUAACAGACGAGAAGACCCUUAGAAUUUAUAUUUAUUUUGUUGGGGCGACAUAGGAACAAUAAACUUCCUUUCUAUUUAUAUUAUUUAACUAAAAAUUUUCAUUUUAAUGAAAUUACCUAAGGGAUAACAGCAUAAUUCUAUGAAGAGUUUGUGACCUCGAUGUUGGACUAUGGACUUAAUUUUAAUAGAUUUAAAAUAAGAUUGUUCUGUUCGAACA